CAGUAGCCGCGGUAAUACGUAGGUGGCAAGCGUUGUCCGGAAUUAUUGGGCGUAAAGGGCUCGCAGGCGGUUUCUUAAGUCUGAUGUGAAAGCCCCCGGCUCAACCGGGGAGGGUCAUUGGAAACUGGGAAACUUGAGUGCAGAAGAGGAGAGUGGAAUUCCACGUGUAGCGGUGAAAUGCGUAGAGAUGUGGAGGAACACCAGUGGCGAAGGCGACUCUCUGGUCUGUAACUGACGCUGAGGAGCGAAAGCGUGGGGAGCGAACAGGAUUAGAUACCCGGGUAGUCCCUGUCUCUUAUAA
rnacentral:rRNA from 1 species